rnacentral:rRNA from 1 species
AGUUUGAUCCUGGCUCAGGAUGAACGCUAGCUACAGGCUUAACACAUGCAAGUCGAGGGGCAGCAUGUCGGUUGCUUGCAACCGAUGAUGGCGACCGGCGCACGGGUGAGUAACGCGUAUCCAACCUACCCUUGUCCAUCGGAUAACCCGUCGAAAGGCGGCCUAACACGAUAUGCGGUUCUCAGCAGGCAUCUAACGAGAACGAAAUGUAAAGGAGAAGGAUGGGGAUGCGUCUGAUUAGCUUGUUGGCGGGGUAACGGCCCACCAAGGCUACGAUCAGUAGGGGUUCUGAGAGGAAGGUCCCCCACAUUGGAACUGAGACACGGUCCAAACUCCUACGGGAGGCAGCAGUGAGGAAUAUUGGUCAAUGGACGAGAGUCUGAACCAGCCAAGUAGCGUGCAGGAUGACGGCCCUAUGGGUUGUAAACUGCUUUUAUAGGGGGAUAAAGUGUGCCACGUGUGGCAUAUUGCAGGUACCCUAUGAAUAAGGACCGGCUAAUUCCGUGCCAGCAGCCGCGGUAAUACGGAAGGUCCAGGCGUUAUCCGGAUUUAUUGGGUUUAAAGGGAGCGUAGGCCGUUUGGUAAGCGUGUUGUGAAAUGUCGGGGCUCAACCUGGGCAUUGCAGCGCGAACUGCCAGACUUGAGUGCGCAGGAAGUAGGCGGAAUUCGUCGUGUAGCGGUGAAAUGCUUAGAUAUGACGAAAGAACUCCGAUUGCGAAGGCAGCCUGCUGUAGCGCAACUGACGCUGAAGCUCGAAAGCGUGGGUAUCGAACAGGAUUAGAUACCCUGGUAGUCCACGCGGUAAACGAUGGAUGCUCGCUGUUUGCGUCUGACGUAAGCAGCCAAGCGAAAGCGUUAAGCAUCCCACCUGGGGAGUACGCCGGCAACGGUGAAACUCAAAGGAAUUGACGGAAGG